AGAGUUUGAUCCUGGCUCAGGAUGAACGCUGGCGGCGUGCUUAACACAUGCAAGUCGAACGAUUAAGACGGCUUCGGCCGUGUAUAGAGUGGCGAACGGGUGAGUAACACGUGACCAACCUGCCCCGCGCUCCGGGAUAACCAUUGGAAACGAUGGCUAAUACCGGAUACUCCGGGCGCCCCGCAUGGGGCGGCCGGGAAAGCCCCGACGGCGCGGGAUGGGGUCGCGGCCCAUUAGGUAGUAGGCGGGGUAACGGCCCACCUAGCCCGCGAUGGGUAGCCGGACUGAGAGGUCGACCGGCCACAUUGGGACUGAGAUACGGCCCAGACUCCUACGGGAGGCAGCAGUGGGGAAUUUUGCGCAAUGGGCGAAAGCCUGACGCAGCAACGCCGCGUGCGGGACGAAGGCCUUCGGGUUGUAAACCGCUUUCAGCAGGGAAGAUAACGACGGUACCUGCAGAAGAAGCUCCGGCUAACUACGUG
rnacentral:rRNA from 1 species